CAGGAGUGAAGCUGCUCUCUGAUCUACUGAAGGAUCCACACUGUAAACUGGAGACACUACACAUUAAUGGUAAUAAACUCAGCAGGUCUGGUGUAGGACAGGAGUCUCUCCUCAGACCUUUUUUCCAGGAUAAAGCAGUUAUGGUGGUGAAGCGUUAGAACACGUCCCACAUUUCCAGCAGUUUGGGAGCUGAAUCAUUCAUAUUCAGAUGUAGAAGAUCCAUAACAAUAACUGUGACUGAUCACAUCCUUUUAUCCUCUCAGCUACAACUUCACACUUUAACAUCUUUUACAAUCCAAAGUCAAAUCCUUCAGCAUCUACACACAACACAGAGAUAUCAUCACAUCAUCACACUGAUUACACAAAUACACAUCCAUGUGUUACAGAUGUUUACACAUUAUUUUUACCUCUUUAAUUGGAUCUCAGAUUAGUUUCUCCACAGAUGAUUGACUCACAGUUGUGAUCUUGAUUUAUUUCUUUUCCUUUAAAAGUCUCUUCUUUUCAAACCCUUUUCACCAAACACUUUUAAAAUCUUUAUUAAAAUCCCUUUAAACAUUAAAGGAAUCUUCUUUUUUGUAGUUGAUCUAUUUUUCUAUAUUUCAAUUUCUUCUUUCUUAAUUUUGUUUGUUUUUGUUUUUUAUUUAUUUGAAAGGGACAAUGCACAUCAAUCAACAUUUUUUUGCUUACACUCAAUAUGUAAAUGUGCCAGAAUUAGCUGAAGAGCUAUUUUUCAUCUGCAGUCCCUUGGCAGGUCAACACAGUAUCAUAGUACAAAAAUUAAAUACAUGAAAAACACAAAACAAAUUAAAACACUAGAUAAUAAUAAAUACAAUACAAAAAUGGGCAGUACCAAAGAUAAAAUAUGUUAACUAUUGAUGAUUGCAAUUUUGAUUGUUUUUAAUCCAUUUCUUGAGUUUGAGUUUAAAUGAUGAAUAGCUGGUGCUCUUUCUGAGUUCAGUAGGGAGACAAUUCCAAUAAUUUGAGGCCCGUACUGAAAAAACUGUCUGACCGAACUUACUUUGCCUAUACUGUAUAACACAGUCUCCCCUGGUAGCUGCCCUAUUUGCCCUAUCACUGGUAUUCCUCAGUUGUAUAAAUUCACGCAGUGGUGGGGGUGCAAGCCCAUGUAAAAUUUUAAAAAUGAGACAGGCAUCUUGAUAAUGUAAGAAAUUGUUGUGAAUAAAUUGUAUUUGGUAACAAUA